GACGAACGCUGGCGGCGUGCUUAACACAUGCAAGUCGAACGGAAAGGCCCUGCUUUUGUGGGGUGCUCGAGUGGCGAACGGGUGAGUAACACGUGAGUAACCUGCCCUUCACUUUGGGAUAACUUCAGGAAACUGGGGCUAAUACCGGAUAGGAGCUCCUGCUGCAUGGUGGGGGUUGGAAAGUUUCGGCGGGUGGGGAUGGACGCGCGGCUUAUCAGCUUGUUGGUGGGGUAGUGGCUUACCAAGGCUUUGACGGGUAGCCGGCCUGAGAGGGUGGCCGGCCACAUUGGGCCUGAGAUACGGCCCAGUCUCCUACGGGAGGCAGUAGUGGGGAAUCUUGCCCAAUGGGCGGAAGCCUGAUGCAGCAACGCCGCGUGCGGGAUGACGGCCUUCGGGUUGUAAACCGCUUUCGCCUGUGACGAAGCGUGAGUGACGGUAAUGGGUAAAGAAGCACCGGCUAACUACGUG
rnacentral:rRNA from 1 species